GCCUUUUGGAGCAUGUGGAGGGGAUGUAAUCCCAAGCUUGGGUGACCUCCUACACCAGCCGAGAAUUGCCAGCAAAUGGCCAGCAGGCAACGCUGAAAGGAAACGUGAACCAGUUUUCUCUGCAACCGCCAGGCUGGAGUAUAGUCACCCAAGGACAGAUCCUUGCCUCCCAGAGAAAUGAGAUCAAGAAUGAUUACCAACAAAGCUGUAAGGCCGUCCUGCGAAGUCAGACCAUUUCCGAGUCAGCGCCUCCCGGAUUAGAUCCGAGCUGUUCAGCACCACCACAUCUGGUAUGGGGGUGGGGCGGGGAGAAAGGAAAGCUGAAAACCUGUUUGUUUAUAUUUUAUUUAUUUAUUAGAUUUUUAUACUGCCUCACACAGAUGGCUCUAGGCAGUUCAAAUAUAAAGACCGAUAAAAAAACAAAUAAGUAACUCAUUAAAACAAAACUAAAACCA